UGGGGAAUAUUGCACAAUGGGGGAAACCCUGAUGCAGCGACGCCGCGUGAACGAAGAAGGUAUUCGUAUCGUAAAGUUCUGUCCUAUGGGAAGAUAAUGACAGUACCAUAGAAGAAAGCUCCGGCUAAAUACGUGCCAGCAGCCGCGGUAAUACGUAGGGAGCGAGCGUUGUCCGGAAUUAUUGGGCGUAAAGGGUACGCAGGCGGUUUAAUAAGUCGAAUGUUAAAGAUCGGGGCUCAACCCCGCAAAGCAUUGGAAACUGAUAAACUUGAAUAGUGGAGAGGGAAGUGGAAUUCCUAGUGUAGUGGUGAAAUACGUAGAUAUUAGGAGGAAUACCAGUAGCGAAGGCGACUUUCUGGACACAAAAUGACGCUGAGGUACGAAAGCGUGGGGAGCAAACAGG
rnacentral:rRNA from 1 species